rnacentral:rRNA from 1 species
CCUACGGGAGACAGCAGUGAGGAAUAUUGGUCAAUGGCCGGAAGGCUGAACCAGCCAUGCCGCGUGAAGGUCAGUGCCCUAUGGGCGUUAAACUUCUUUUGUGCGGGAGCAAUAAUGGUCACGUGUGGCCAGACGAGAGUACCGUACGAAUAAGCAUCGGCUAACUCCGUGCCAGCAGCCGCGAUAAUACGGGGGAUGCAAGCGUUAUCCGGAUUUAUUGGGUUUAAAGGGUGCGUAGGCUGUGAGGUAAGUCAGCGGUGAAAUGCCCCCGCUCAACGGGGUGAAGUGCCAUUGAUACUGCCUGGCUGGAAUGCGGAUGCCGUGGGAGGAAUGUGUGGUGUAGCGGUGAAAUGCAUAGAUAUCACACAGAACACCGAUUGCGAAGGCAUCUCACGAAUCCGCGAUUGACGCUGAUGCACGAAAGCGUGGGUAUCAAACAGGAUUAGAUACCCCUGUAGUC